rnacentral:rRNA from 1 species
CGUAGGGUGCGAGCGUUAAUCGGAAUUACUGGGCGUAAAGUGUGCGCAGGUGGCCGCGCAAGUCGAGUGUGAAAUCCCCGAGCUUAACUUGGGAAUUGCGCUCGAAACUACGUGGCUCGAGUGUGGCAGAGGAAGGUGGAGUUCCACGUGUAGCGGUGAAAUGCGUAGAGAUGUGGAGGAACACCGAUGGCGAAGGCAGCCUUCUGGGCCAACACUGACGCUCAUGCACGAAAGCGUGGGGAGCAAACAGGAUUAGAUACCCUGGUAGUCCACGCCCUAAACGAUGAUGACUAGUUGUUGGGGGAGUUAAAUCCCUUAGUAACGCAGCUAACGCGUGAAGUCAUCCGCCUGGGGAGUACGGUCGCAAGAUUA